UGGGGAAUUUUGGACAAUGGGGGAAACCCUGAUCCAGCCAUCCCGCGUGUGCGAUGAAGGCCUUCGGGUUGUAAAGCACUUUUGGCAGGAAAGAAACGUCGCGGGUUAAUACCCCGCGAAACUGACGGUACCUGCAGAAUAAGCACCGGCUAACUACGUGCCAGCAGCCGCGGUAAUACGUAGGGUGCAAGCGUUAAUCGGAAUUACUGGGCGUAAAGCGUGCGCAGGCGGUUCGGAAAGAAAGAUGUGAAAUCCCAGAGCUUAACUUUGGAACUGCAUUUUUAACUACCGGGCUAGAGUGUGUCAGAGGGAGGUGGAAUUCCGCGUGUAGCAGUGAAAUGCGUAGAUAUGCGGAGGAACGCCGAUGGCGAAGGCAGCCUCCUGGGAUAACACUGACGCUCAUGCACGAAAGCGUGGGGAGCAAACAGGAUUAGAUACCCUGGUAGUCCACGCCCUAAACGAUGUCAACUAGCUGUUGGGGCCUUCGGGCCUUGGUAGCGCAGCUAACGCGUGAAGUUGACCGCCUGGGGAGUACGGUCGCAAGAUUAAAACUCAAAGGAAUU
rnacentral:rRNA from 1 species